GACGAACCGUGCAAACGUUACUCGGAAUCAUUGGGCUUAAAGCGCACGUAGGCGGCGAUGUAAGUUAAGGGUGAAAUCCCAUCGGCUCAACCGUGGAACUGCCUUUAAUACUGCAUUGCUUGAGGGAGACAGGGGCAAGUGGAACCACCGGUGGAGCGGUGAAAUGUGUUGAUAUUGGUGGGAACGCCGGUGGCGAAAGCGGCUUGCUGGUUCGUUUCUGACGCUGAGGUGCGAAAGCUAGGGGAGCGAACGGG
rnacentral:rRNA from 1 species